rnacentral:rRNA from 1 species
CGACGUCGCAUGCUCCCGGCCGCCAUGGCCGCGGGAUUACGGGGAGCAGCAGGCGCGAAACCUUUACACUGCACGACAGGUGCGAUAAGGGGAUCCCGAGUGCGAGGGCAUACAGUCCUCGCUUUUCGUGACCGUAAGGUGGUCUCAGAAUAAGGGCUGGGCAAGACCGGUGCCAGCCGCCGCGGUAAUACCGGCAGCCCGAGUGAUAACCACUCUUAUUGGGCCUAAAGCGUCCGUAGCUGGCCGAACGGGUCCGUCGGGAAAUCCACCCGCUCAACGGGUGGGCGUCCGGCGGAAACCAGUCGGCUUGGGACCGGAGGACCUGCGGGGUACGUCUGGGGUAGGAGUGAAAUCCUGUAAUCCCAGACGGACCACCGGUGGCGAAAGCGCCGCAGGAGGACGGAUCCGACAGUGAGGGACGAAAGCUUGGGUCUCGAACCGGAUUAGAUACCCGGGUAGUCCAAGCCGUAAACGAUGCUCGCUAGGGUGUGGCGCAGGCUACGAGCCUGCGCUGUGCCGUAGGGAAGCCGAGAAGCGAGCCGCCUGGGAAGUACGUCCGCAAGGAUGAAACUUAAAGGAAUUGGCGGGGGAGCACAAUCACUAGUGCGGCCGCCUGCAGGUCGACCAUAUGGGAGAGCUCCCAACGCGUUGGAUGCAUAGCUUGAGUAUUCUAUGGGGGCCACCU